rnacentral:rRNA from 1 species
CCAGACUCCUACGGGAGGCAGCAGUGGGGGAUAUUGGACAAUGGGGGAAACCCUGAUCCAGCGAUGCCGCGUGAGGGAAGAAGGUUUUCGGAUUGUAAACCUCUGUGGACAGGGACGAUAAUGACGGUACCUGACCAAGAAGCCCCGGCUAACUACGUGCCAGCAGCCGCGGUAAUACGUAGGGGGCAAGCGUUAUCCGGAAUUACUGGGUGUAAAGGGAGCGUAGACGGCAGGGCAAGUCUGGAGUGAAAGCCCGGGGCCCAACCCCGGGACUGCUUUGGAAACUGCCAUGCUAGAGUGCUGGAGAGGUAAGCGGAAUUCCUAGUGUAGCGGUGAAAUGCGUAGAUAUUAGGAGGAACACCAGUGGCGAAGGCGGCUUACUGGACAGUAACUGACGUUGAGGCUCGAAAGCGUGGGGAGCAAACAGGAUUAGAUACCCCAGUACUU